rnacentral:rRNA from 1 species
UACGUAGGGGGCUAGCGUUGUCCGGAAUCAUUGGGCGUAAAGCGCGUGUAGGCGGUUCGGUAAGUCCGCUGUGAAAGUCGGGGGCUCAACCCUCGAAUGCCGGUGGAUACUGUCGGGCUAGAGUGCGGAAGAGGCGAGUGGAAUUCCUGGGUGUAGCGGUGAAAUGCGCAGAGUAUCAGGAGGAACACCGAUUGCGAAGGCAGCUCGCUGGGACGUGAACUGACGCUGAGACGCGAAAGCGUGGGGAGCAAACAGG